GAUGAACGCUGGCGGCGUGCCUAAUACAUGCAAGUCGAGCGAACAGACGAGGAUCUUUCCCCUCUGACGUGAUCGGCGGACGGGGGAGUAACACGCGGAUGAAAUAUCUAUAUGACUCGGAUAACUUCGGGAAACAGGGGCUCAUAUCGGGUAUUAUAUUUAACUUCAUAUGUCACUAUUGUAAAACGGUGUUGCGGUCUCUUUUAUAGAGGUCCGCGCCGCAUUAGCUAGUUGGUGAGGUAACGGCUUACCAAGGCGACGAUGCGUAGCCGACCUGAGAGGGUGAUCGGCCACACUGGAACUGAGACACGGUCCAGACUCCUACGGGAGGCAGCAGUAGGGAAUCUUCCGCAAUGGGCGAAAGCCUGACGGAGCAACGCCGCGUGAGUGAUGAAGGUCUUCGGAUCGUAAAACUCUGUUAUAAGGGAAGAACAAGUGUGUAAGUAACUAUGCACGUCUUGACGGUACCUAAUCAGAAAGCCACGGCUAACUACGUG
rnacentral:rRNA from 1 species